rnacentral:rRNA from 1 species
GGGAUUAGAUACCCCACUAUGCUUAGCCUUAAACCCAGAUGUUAAAUUUACAAGCAACAUCCGCCAGGGUACUACAAGCGCUAGCUUAAAACCCAAAGGACUUGACGGUGUCUCAGACCCACCUAGAGGAGCCUGUUCUAGAACCGAUAAUCCCCGUUAAACCUCACCACCCCUUGUUUUCCCCGCCUAUAUACCGCCGUCGCAAGCUUACCCUGUGAAGGUCUCAUAGUAAGCAAAAUGGGUAAAUCCCAAAACGUCAGGUCGAGGUGUAGCUUACGAGGUGGGAAGAAAUGGGCUACAUUUUCUAUAUUAGAAUAAUACGAACAGCACCAUGAAAUUCGUGCUCGAAGGUGGAUUUAGUAGUAAAAAAUAAAUAGAGAGUCUUUUUGAACCAGGCUCUGAGACGCGCACACACCGCCCC